GAUGAACGCUAGCGGCAGGCCUAAUACAUGCAAGUCGAGGGGUAAAUAUGUAGCAAUAUAUAUGAGACCGGCGCACGGGUGCGUAACACGUAUGCAACCUACCUUUUACUGGGGAAUAGCUCAGAGAAAUCUGAAUUAAUACCCCAUAUUAUCCAGAUGUGGCAUCACUUUGGGAUUAAAGCUCCGGCGGUAAAAGAUGGGCAUGCGGAACAUUAGCUAGUUGGUAAGGUAAUGGAUUACCAAGGCUACGAUGUUUAGGGGGUCUGAGAGGAUGAUCCCACGCACUGGUACUGAGACACGGACCACACUCCUACGGGAGGCGGCAGUAGGGAAUAUUGGUCAAUGGACGCAAGUCUGAACCAGCCAUGCCGCGUGCAGGAUGAAUGUCCUAUGGAUUGUAAACUGCUUUUUUACGGGAAGAAACCCCUGGAUGCGUCCGGGGCUGACGGUACCGUAAGAAUAAGGAUCGGCUAACUUCGUGCCAGCCGCCGCCGUAAUAC
rnacentral:rRNA from 1 species